rnacentral:lncRNA from 1 species
AACUAUCUCCUAUCCUACCCAAAAGUUAUGGCGUUAGAAAUGGCACGACCGCCGCCGACGCCUCCUAAGUCCUGCCGAUCUAUCGAUGCGGGGUGAAGAGAAGGUGAAGAGAAGGAAUCGUACGAAAAGGAACUGCACCGAGACAGAACGAGAUCGAAAUCUCUCCGCCGCCUCCGGACUCGGCGGUGGGGCUGCCACCAGAAGAGUACUUCAUUCAUCAUUCUUACUGUGUGGAACUUAUUUUUAAUGUGGUUGUGGGCUGUGGAUUCGGAGAAGAUUGUGAUGGUGGUGGUUGUGGGCUGUGGAUCUGGAGAAGAUUGUGAUGGUGGCGGUUAUGGCGGUGAUGGUGCAGGAUUGAACUGGUGGUGGAAGCGGCGGGGCAGCGGCUGAGUUGAAGCGGUGGUGAUUUGUGGGUGUGGUGGAGGGGUUGGAGCGGGG